AAAAAAAGUCUAUGAACUAAACGAUCUAUUGGGGCGUUGAAUGACGUCCGUUACGGUUACGAGCAAUAUUUAUUGUAAUUACAUUGUUUAGCCCGCUAAAAAGACUGUCAUUGUUUGAAAAGGGAGAAUUCUGUGUGUGGCCGUUUAGCCAGCCAACCAACAAUAGCUGGUAUUUCAUGAACCCUUUUCUUCAACGCUCGAAGACCUGGAUAAUUUUCUAAAGCCGUCGCUCCAAAAAUAUUCUCGAAAUUUUCAAGGGCCACUGCAAACACGAAGUCCGCCCACGUCGUCUGAAAAACGGCACGGAUUGGCUGGGUCUUUGAUGAGAACGUCAGCUAUUAUAGCCGAUAAAUUUUCAUUAUCCCUCGUGUCAUCAAUUUCGCGGCACGGAAAUUCAUCGUUGCUCGAGCCACGCGAAAAAUAUCCAGGCCAAAGGAAAGGAACGAACGAGAGAGAGAGAGAGAGAGAGUGAGGGGGGGGGGAUGGAGGAAGAAAAAUGCGAGAGAAAUAAAAGGGAGGAGGCCGAAAAGAGAGCUGUUCGUAUUAGGUCGGUGAGGUACGUAUAGACGACUUUGAAGUGGGUACAUGAAUAAAAAAU
rnacentral:misc_RNA from 1 species